CUGUCCUUGAACCAGAGAGCAGACAGUCUCCCGGAGGCAGCUGUGUGGUGUGUGCUCUGAGCCAGGACCUUCUGAGGCACCCAUGCUACAGCAGUUCCCAGAGGCUUAAGGACAGGCUGUGGGACAUGUGGCCGUCUGGGCUGGUGGAAACUUUAACGGUCGCCUCCCCGAGGAUGCCUUCCCUGCGCUCCGUCUCUGUCCUGCCAAUCCCGUCCUGGAAUUGUCUUCUCCAUCUGGUGUUUUUGUGCUCACGAGAAUGCAAGCACCUCGAGAACAGGGACUGUCUCUUCUUUCUGCUGUGCGAUUAUCAACACCAGUGAUAGCAGGCAUUCAGUAAACAUAUUUUAUUAUGUUAGGUGUGUGUUUCUGGGACACCUGGGUGGCUCAGUCGGUAAAGCAUCCGACUCCU